GAUGAACGCUGGCGGCGUGCCUAAUACAUGCAAGUCGAGCGAACAGACGAGGAGCUUGCUCCUCUGACGUUAGCGGCGGACGGGUGAGUAACACGUGGAUAACCUACCUAUAAGACUGGGAUAACUUCGGGAAACCGGAGCUAAUACCGGAUAAUAUAUUGAACCGCAUGGUUCAAUAGUGAAAGACGGUUUUGCUGUCACUUAUAGAUGGAUCCGCGCCGCAUUAGCUAGUUGGUAAGGUAACGGCUUACCAAGGCAACGAUGCGUAGCCGACCUGAGAGGGUGAUCGGCCACACUGGAACUGAGACACGGUCCAGACUCCUACGGGAGGCAGCAGUAGGGAAUCUUCCGCAAUGGGCGAAAGCUUGACGGAGCAGCGCCGCGUGAGUGAUGAAGGUCUUCGGAUCGUAAAACUCUGUUAUUAGGGAAGAACAAAUGUGUAAGUAACUAUGCACGUCUUGGCGGUACCUAAUCAGAAAGCCACGGCUAACUAC
rnacentral:rRNA from 1 species